AGCAGCCGCGGUAAUUCCAGCUCCAAUAGCGUAUAUUAAAGUUGCUGCAGUUAAAAAGCUCGUAGUUGAAUUUCGGGACCAUCAUGUCGGUCGUGCCUCGGUACGUACUGGUAUUGUUGGUUUCUCCCUUCUGACGAACCAUGAUGUCAUUUAUUUGGUGUUGUGGGGAAUCAGGACUGUUACUUUGAAAAAUUAGAGUGUUUAAAGCAGGCUCACGCUUGAAUACAUUAGCAUGGAAUAAUGAAAUAGGACGUUUGAUUCUAUUUUGUGUUUCUAGGAUCGACGUAAUGAUUAAUAGGGAUAGUUGGGGCAUUAGUAUUCAAUUGUCAGAGGUGAAAUUCUUGGAUUUAUUGAAGACUAACGUACUGCGAAAGCAUUGCCAAGGAUGUUUCAUUAAUCAAGAACGAAAGUUAGGGAUACGAAGACGAUCAG
rnacentral:rRNA from 1 species